rnacentral:rRNA from 1 species
UUCCUACGGGGGGCAGCAGUGGGGAAUAUUGGACAAUGGGCGCAAGCCUGAUCCAGCAAUGCCGCGUGUGUGAAGAAGGUCUUCGGAUUGUAAAGCACUUUCGACGGGGACGAUGAUGACGGUACCCGUAGAAGAAGCCCCGGCUAACUUCGUGCCAGCAGCCGCGGUAAUACGAAGGGGGCUAGCGUUGCUCGGAAUUACUGGGCGUAAAGGGCGCGUAGGCGGCCCUGCAAGUCAGGCGUGAAAUUCCCGGGCUCAACCUGGGGGCUGCGCUUGAGACUGUGGGGCUAGAGGCCGAGAGAGGGUGGUGGAAUUCCCAGUGUAGAGGUGAAAUUCGUAGAUAUUGGGAAGAACACCGGUGGCGAAGGCGGCCACCUGGCUCGGUACUGACGCUGAGGCGCGACAGCGUGGGGAGCAAACAGGAUUAGAUACCCUAGUAGUCCGU